rnacentral:rRNA from 1 species
AGUGAACGCUGGCGGUAGGCCUAACACAUGCAAGUCGAACGGCAGCACAGUAAGAGCUUGCCCCUACGGGUGGCGGGUGGCGGACGGGUGAGGAAUACAUCGGAAUCUACUUUUUCGUGGGGGAUAACGUAGGGAAACUUACGCUAAUACCGCAUACGACCUACGGGUGAAAGCAGGGGAUCUUCGGACUUUGCGCGAUUGAAUGAGCCGAUGUCGGAUUAGCUAGUUGGCGAGGUAAAGGCACACCAAGGCGACGAUCCGUAGCUGGUCUGAGAGGAUGAUCAGCCACACUGGAACUGAGACACGGUCCAGACUCCUACGGGAGGCAGCAGUGGGGAAUAUUGGACAAUGGGCGCAAGCCUGAUCCAGCCAUGCCGCGUGGGUGAAGAAGGUCUUCGGGUCGUAAAGCCCUUUUGUUGGGGAAGAAAAGCAGCAGGUGAAUACCCCGCUGUUCUGACGGUACCCAAAGAAUAAGCACCGGCUAACUUCGUG